rnacentral:hammerhead_ribozyme from 1 species
GCACUGCUGAGGAGUCUCAAAAUGGGACGAAACGGCCGUCCAGUGC